rnacentral:tRNA from 1 species
AAAAAUUUAGUUAAUACAUAACAUUAACUUGUCAAGUUAAAAUAAUUAAAUUUAAUAAUUUUUG